AGCGAACGCUGGCGGCAGGCCUAACACAUGCAAGUCGAGCGCCGUAGCAAUACGGAGCGGCAGACGGGAGAGUAACACGUGGGAACGUACCCUUCAGUACGGAACAACCAAGGGAAACUUUGGCUAAUACCGUAUACGUCCGUAAGGAGAAAGAUUUAUCGCUGAAGGAUCGGCCCGCGUCUGUUUAGCUAGUUGGUGAGGUAACGGCUAACCAAGGCGACGAUCAGUAGCUGGUCUGAGAGGAUGAUCAGCCUCACUGGGACUGAGACACGGCCCAGACUCCUACGGGAGGCAGCAGUGGGGAAUAUUGGACAAUGGGCGCAAGCCUGAUCCAGCCAUGCCGCGUGGGUGAUGAAGGCCCUAGGGUUGUAAAGCCCUUUCGGCGGGGAAGAUAAUGACGGUACCCGCAGAAGAAGCCCCGGCUAACUUCGUGCCAGCAGCCGCGGUAAGAC
rnacentral:rRNA from 1 species